GACGAACGCUGGCGGCGUGCCUAAUACAUGCAAGUCGAGCGGACCAACGAGGAGCUUGCUCCUCAGAGGUCAGCGGCGGACGGGUGAGUAACACGUGGGCAACCUGCCUGUWAGACUGGGAUAACUCCGGGAAACCGGGGCUAAUACCGGAUAACAUUCUCCUCUGCAUAGAGGAGGAUUAAAAGAUGGCUUCGGCUAUCACUUACAGAUGGGCCCGCGGCGCAUUAGCUAGUUGGUGAGGUAAGGGCUCACCAAGGCGACGAUGCGUAGCCGACCUGAGAGGGUGAUCGGCCACACUGGGACUGAGACACGGCCCAGACUCCUACGGGAGGCAGCAGUAGGGAAUCUUCGGCAAUGGACGAAAGUCUGACCGAGCAACGCCGCGUGAGUGAGGAAGGCCUUCGGGUCGUAAAGCUCUGUUGUUAGGGAAGAACAAGUACCGUUCGAACAGGGCGGUACCUUGACGGUACCUAACCAGAAAGCCACGGCUAACUACGUGCCAGCAGCCGCGGUAAUACGUAGGUGGCAAGCGUUGUCCGGAAUUAUUGGGCGUAAAGCGCGCGCAGGCGGUCUCUUAAGUCUGAUGUGAAAGCCCACGGCUCAACCGUGGAGGGUCAUUGGAAACUGGGGGACUUGAGUACUGGAGAGGAGAGUGGAAUUCCAUGUGUAGCGGUGAAAUGCGUAGAUAUAUGGAGGAACACCAGUGGCGAAGGCGGCUCUCUGGCCAGUAACUGACGCUGAGGCGCGAAAGCGUGGGGAGCAAACAGGAUUAGAUACCCUGGUAGUCCACGCCGUAAACGAUGAGUGCUAGGUGUUGGGGGGUUCCACCCUCAGUGCUGACGUUAACACAUUAAGCACUCCGCCUGGGGAGUACGACCGCAAGGUUGAAACUCAAAGGAAUUGACGGGGGCCCGCACAAGCAGUGGAGCAUGUGGUUUAAUUCGAAGCAACGCGAAGAACCUUACCAGGUCUUGACAUCCUUCGCUACUUCCAGAGAUGGAAGGUUCCCCUUCGGGGACGAAGUGACAGGUGGUGCAUG
rnacentral:rRNA from 1 species